rnacentral:ribozyme from 12 species
UACAAGUGGAAAGUGAAAUCGGGGACGGAAACCGAGAGCAUGAGGGGAAAAAGGGACAAAUAUCAGAGUGGCUCAAAUGGCUUAUGAUUUGAUCAUUCUAUUUUCUUAUGUCUCGCACUUUUCUUUUUUUCCUUCGCACUUUUUUCCUUUCUC